rnacentral:rRNA from 1 species
UACGUAGGGUGCAAGCGUUGUCCGGAAUUAUUGGGCGUAAAGAGCUCGUAGGCGGUCUGUCGCGUCUGCUGUGAAAACUCAGGGCUUAACCCUGAGCUUGCAGUGGGUACGGGCAGACUAGAGUGUGGUAGGGGAGACUGGAAUUCCUGGUGUAGCGGUGAAAUGCGCAGAUAUCAGGAGGAACACCGAUGGCGAAGGCAGGUCUCUGGGCCACUACUGACGCUGAGAAGCAAAAGCAUGGGGAGCGAACAGG